UAACACGUGAGCAAACCCUGCCCUUGUACAACUGGAUACCACUAAGAAAUUAGUGCUAAUACAGUAUAUGACCACACCGAGACAUCUCGGAGGGGUGAAAGCGAUAGCGGUACAGAUGGGCUCGCGUCCAAUUAGCUAGUUGGUGAGAUACAGCCCACCAAGGCGACGAUUGGUAGCCGACUUGAGAGAGUGAUCGGCCACACUGGAACUGAGACACGGUCCAGACUCCUACGGGAGGCAGCAGUGGGGAAUAUUGGGCAAUGGAGGAAACUCUUACCCAAGCAAUGCCGCGUGAGUGAAUGAAGGUCUUCGGAUUGUAAAGCUCUUUGAUUGGGGACGAAUAAAUGACGGUACCCAAGGAACAAGCCCCGGCUAACUAUGUGCCAGCCGCCGC
rnacentral:rRNA from 1 species